rnacentral:rRNA from 1 species
GUUAGGAAUAUUGGACAAUGGGCGAAAGCCUGAUCCAGCCAUGCCGCGUGUGUGAAGAAGGUCUUCGGAUUGUAAAGCACUUUAAGUUGGGAGGAAGGGCAGUAAGUUAAUACCUUGCUGUUUUGACGUUACCGACAGAAUAAGCACCGGCUAACUUCGUGCCAGCAGCCGCGGUAAUACGAAGGGUGCAAGCGUUAAUCGGAAUUACUGGGCGUAAAGCGCGCGUAGGUGGUUUUGUAAGUUGGAGGUGAAAUCCCCGGGCUCAACCUGGGAACUGCCUCCAAAACUGCAUGACUAGAGUACGGUAGAGGGUAGUGGAAUUUCCUGUGUAGCGGUGAAAUGCGUAGAUAUAGGAAGGAACACCAGUGGCGAAGGCGACUACCUGGACUGAUACUGACACUGAGGUGCGAAAGCGUGGGGAGCAAACAGGAUUAGAUACCCUUGUAGUCC